GGAUCAGUUCGCUGGUCGUGCCUCUGGUAUGUACUGGUGUUACUGGUUCCUCCCUUCUGACGAACUGUCAUGUCAUUUAUUUGGUGUGGCAGGGAAUCAGGACUGUUACUUUGAAAAAAUUAGAGUGUUUAAAGCAGGCUUACGCUUGAAUACAUUAGCAUGGAAUAAUAAAAUAGGACUUUGGUUUUAUUUUGUUGGUUUUCGAGACUGAAGUA
rnacentral:rRNA from 1 species